AUGGCGAAUAGUUGGACUUUGACGGUGAUUGUCCUCCUAAGCAUCUUUAUGGCGAGAAGUCAGACAAGAGGAGAUCAAGACCCUGCAUCUCAACAGAAUAAAGAUUCUGCCAUUAAACAGCUGACAGAUUUCAAAGAGCAGAACUUUAUUCAAGGCAGUGAUGUGAUUUUACAGUGUGGCAAUGCCACUGUUAUCAGUUGGAAUGAAUUAAUUUAUAUUGUCUGGAACAUCAGCCUGGAAGGCAGAAAAUGUUGGCUGGGUUUGUCACCCAAGCUGGACGACACAUGUAAAGAUGGAAAGAGGCUGUUAAACACCUCAGAUGGAGUUUCUUUAGUCAUUCCCAAGAUUUCAACAAGAGAUGAAGGAUUUUAUUCGUGUGAUGUAUCAUAUAAAGCAGGAAGCUAUGCUGUAAAUGUGUCUGUAAGCGUUACCCAACUUUUCACCAAGCAGAGUGAAAACAAUCAAAGGAUUGCUGUCUGUCAGGCCACAUACACACAAAAGACAGCACCCACUCUUCACUGGGAACCUGCCUUGAACUUUUCCUCCAGUAACAGUUCUGUAAAGAAGCAUGGCAGGUUUUUUACGAUGGAGAAUCAAGUAUAUCUGCCGGACAAUGUCAACAUCAGUGAGCUCAUCUGUGUGGCCACAUACUCCUCCGAGUCCGGCUCUGUUCAGCACAAGAGCACACUUCAUCUUAAAAUUUCACACAGCGGAACACAAGAAACUUCCUCUUUUCCAGUGAAAAUUAUUGCCAUAUCAGUUGGUUCUACAUGUAUUUUUUUUUUUGUUGUAUCUCUGGCCGUGGUUUACAUACUCCGCAGAAAGCUUUACAACUUAAGUGCACUGAAGAUGCUUUGCUGCAAAUCUAAAAUCUCAACACCAUCUGAAGACAAACCACCCCAACCCGCUGAUGUUGAAGAGGUGGAACCCUAUGCAAGCUACAUACAGAGAGUCAACUCCAUCUACAACUCCUCAGCUGAGCUCUUCAACGCCUGA
ensembl:lncRNA